UGACAGCCCCGUACACAAAAAUGCACAUAUUGUGAGCUUGAUGAGUAGGGCGGGACACGUGGUAUCCUGUCUGAAUAUGGGGGGACCAUCCUCCAAGGCUAAAUACUCCUGACUGACCGAUAGUGAACCAGUACCGUGAGGGAAAGGCGAAAAGAACCCCGGCGAGGGGAGUGAAAAAGAACCUGAAACCGUGUACGUACAAGCAGUGGGAGCACGCUUAGGCGUGUGACUGCGUACCUUUUGUAUAAUGGGUCAGCGACUUAUAUUCUGUAGCAAGGUUAACCGAAUAGGGGAGCCGAAGGGAAACCGAGUCUUAACUGGGCGUUAAGUUGCAGGGUAUAGACCCGAAACCCGGUGAUCUAGCCAUGGGCAGGUUGAAGGUUGGGUAACACUAACUGGAGGACCGAACCGACUAAUGUUGAAAAAUUAGCGGAUGACUUGUGGCUGGGGGUGAAAGGCCAAUCAAACCGGGAGAUAGCUGGUUCUCCCCGAAAGCUAUUUAGGUAGCGCCUCGUGAAUUCAUCUCCGGGGGUAGAGCACUGUUUCGGCAAGGGGGUCAUCCCGACUUACCAACCCGAUGCAAACUGCGAAUACCGGAGAAUGUUAUCACGGGAGACACACGGCGGGUGCUAACGUCCGUCGUGAAGAGGGAAACAACCCAGACCGCCAGCUAAGGUCCCAAAGUCAUGGUUAAGUGGGAAACGAUGUGGGAAGGCCCAGACAGCCAGGAUGUUGGCUUAGAAGCAGCCAUCAUUUAAAGAAAGCGUAAUAGCUCACUGGUCGAGUCGGCCUGCGCGGAAGAUGUAACGGGGCUAAACCAU
rnacentral:rRNA from 1 species